rnacentral:rRNA from 1 species
GUUCGUUAAACCCUCCCACCUAGAGGAAGGAGAAGUCGUAACAAGGUUUCCGUAGGUGAACCUGCGGAAGGAUCAUUGAAUCUAUCGUGCCCACACCGCGAAACUACUUAUGCCCUUCUGGAACAGGCAAACUUUAUUGUUUGCCCUUCAGUUGCGCAGGUCAGGGGCUGGCUCCUUUUGGUGUCAGUUGACUUGACUGGGCGGGUCCAAUACCAGCCGGAUUCACCUUGCCUUCUAGGCUUGGGGUUCUGCCGGCUGUGAGGGGUGGCUGUUUAACUCACUUUAAGCAAUCAAUUCUGAAGGCAGAUCUAUAGGCUGGCUAUGCUGGCUGUAGUCUGAUUAAAUAUAGACAACUCUCAACAACGGAUAUCUUGGCUCCCGUAACGAUGAAGAACGCAGCGAAAUGCGAUACGUAGUGUGAAUUGCAGAAUUCCGUGAACCAUCGAAUCUUUGAACGCAAAUUGCGCUCGAGGCCUCGGCCAAGAGCAUGUCUGCCUCAGCGUCGGCUACUACCCUCAACUAAGUUUCCUAUACACAUAGGGGAUGCCGGUUGGAUCUGGCCGUCCGGUUUGCCUUUUAGGUUGCCGGUCAGCUGAAAUACAUUCACGCUCUGGGGGCUGCUUUCCUUCCGAGGAGAGGCGAGUUCCGAUUUGGUAGGUGACCUUUGCCGGUUGCAUGCCUUCGUUGCCCGCUAAGCUUUCCAGUAUGCGUUGUGCAGGACGUCUUUUGGCUUUCGACCUGAGGUCAGGCAAGAACACCCG